ACCCCCAAUCCAAGGUCAAAGUGAUGUGUCCUUUAGAGGCUUUGGGACCCUUUUUAGUAAGUAUGAGCAGACAAUGAAUGCAGUGACCGUGCUACGAGAAAACCCUUCCCAACUGAUUGAGGGCUUAUCACUCGAUCCAGCUAAGAUUUGUAUUUGAAUCGUUUGUAAGGUCGCACUCUUACAACAAACUUCUGGGUUUUAAAUACCUCCGUACAGCAAGUAAACGUUCCCUGCUUUCUGUUCCCAGUGUCCUCGGUCAUGGUGCUUUUUGUUGCAUUAAAAGUGCCGGUCAAACUUUGAUAGUAUUUUUUUAUAGUUGGUGCAGAGUGGAAUAACUCAUGGAUUAUUUCAAUAUUUUUGUAAUAAAAAAAUAUAGGGUAUACAUGUAGGCAUCAUCACUUUUUUUAUAGACCUGGAAUCGUUUAAAAUACUUUAAGCGUCAUCAUUCCUUGGGAUGUCCGAAACUGGUCCACAAAUUCCAUCAGCCUGCCUCAGCGGAUUGAGAACACCUGUCUCUUGGAAGAUCACCCUACUUUGCAAUGUUGGUGCCCCCAGGAACCUGGCCAGGGGUGCUAUCAGAAUAUCAGGUGACAAGAGAAUCAGCUUACCUAGAAAGGGCUUGUCAAGACUGGCCAAUGUUUCCCAGGAUGUGAAAGCUGUAAAUGAUUACUUUCAUCCAUCCAUUAUCACGAACCUGACCACAGUGGAAGAUGUCUUAAACUUCCUUCCCUGGUUUUAUAUUAACCCAAGUGAUAUAUUAAAUAUUAAUCCAAGUCACUAAAAAGAGAGAGAGAGAGACAGAGAGAGAGAGAGACAGAGAGAGAGGGGAAAAGUCCGUUUAACUUCAUUGCUCGGUUAUCCGGACUGUCCAAUCCACUUAAAAUAGUCAAGUUCUAGAGCCACCACCUGUAAUGGGUGGGUCCUACAGAGACUGCUGUCCCCGUGACAUCCACAGGAAAUGGCAGAGCGCUCAACCUAGGACUUCUUUUGGUACAAAGCCCCAGAGCAAUGUUUUCAAAAUAGAUGACUUUUUAUCGCUUGACGUGCUUCCCUAGUACGCCAUGAUUUCAUCCUCCAAGCAAGAUUGCCACUAAAAAACAAUGAUCUUUUGUCCGGAUGUGAAAAGUUUACCCGGUCGCCAGCAAAGGCCCAGGAAGACGCUCUUCUUGUCAGUGACUGGUGAAAACAUUGCGCCCCCCAUCGUGGAAGGAAAACGUGAUUGCAUCGGCAAAAACUCUUCAUCUUUGCGCAGGACCACGAGUUAUUAGCUUCGUUAUUUCCAAGAAGACUUGUAAGUGAUGAUCUUUGGAAACUGAAUGGCUCAGCUGAACUGUACCUUUGAUUUCACGAGUAAAUAACAGAUCACAAUUAUAGCGUCAAUCGACACAAACUCAGCAGGCCCCACCACUCCUCAGUCAUAAACAUCUUGGAACUUGUCAAGCUUUACCGAAGGUGAUUUGCGUUAAGUAAUGCAACAGACCCUUUAAUCUUGCAAACUCUUGACUUGUAAUGUUGUAGCCAAGCAAGGGGAAAUUAAUCAGUUAGUCGGAAAGAGCACUUCCUGCGGUGCUGUGCCCAGGCCUGAAGAGAAAGACCUCUGUGAAAGUAGGAGCACUAAGGAAUUCGUGCUACCUGCUUCCUCAUCAUUCAUGCUAUGAAUAUUCAUCCGCUUCAUUUGUUUUUUCCGGGAAGCGCUGCUUUGAAACAAAGAAAGAAAUUAAGAAAGAUGGUAAAGGAAAAAAGUCAACGGAUUCCUGGGGCUUGUGUAGCUCGGAGAAUAGGUACUGGGUCACAGAGACUCGUGUUCAAUGGAUACAAAUCUACAUGUGUUUGGAAAUGAAAAAAAAAAUGUCAUUGUCACCUCUUUAAUGAUUGACCUGAGUACAGUGGCCGCCCUUCAUUUGUUGAGGCUACUGUUGUCAGCAGUGUGAAAACCAAUUUCUAAAAAUUGAACCUGUAAUUCAGUUUCGGAGGUAAAAAUCUGCACGGAUGGAACUAUUCAGUAAUUUGGUUCCUGCCUUCCCUGGGUGGUGACCUGGCAAGUUUCAGACCGAGGCGACCGUGUGGAAUUGGCUCUCCUGCUCCUUCUGAGACCCUGCAACGUCUCGGUUACAAGCUAGAAGAUCGUCAAUUUGAGAUUCUUGAUUGCCUAAGUGUUUGCUUCAAAGUAAACAGGUAAUCUCGCAAUUAAAAAAUCACGGUUCUUUCCCACUUGCUUCUCUGUUUUCCAAGAAUGGUUUGAGCUGUAACGGAAGAAUGAAUGUACCUCAGAUGGUAGUUCCAUAGUCUGCAAGAGUCGGGCAUCCGUCUGUUCUUAUAAAGUUUCUGUCUGACCUUUUGGUAGAGCAAUUUUAGGAAUGAACCCCAGAUGAAUGAGUGAAAGCCAUCAGAUUUAUCUGAUAAGCACCCUAACGGAAACAUUUUUAAAAAAAGAAGCAAGGAUCCUUUUUCUUGUGUUUCAAGGAUGUUUCUCCUUCCUGAGCGAUCAUCUUGGUGACUAUCUCCAAGAUGUACCAAGAGCUACUGAACGAUAGUUUCAGUUAUGGGCUCCAGUAUCGUGCUGAACACGAUGACAAAAGUCAUUUUUCAGAACUAGCUCUUGGCUCAAGCACUGACAUUUAAUGGCAAAAACUGGCCUACCACCGUGUGACUUAUUUUCAAUUGCAAGGCAGUGGAAACUAGUACGUGAAAGAAAAUGUUAAUUUCCUGAACUCCAAAGCCAAAAUGGGCAACAAAGCAACUCUGAAACCUACAAUGAGUUGGUUGACCGUGGGGAACCCGGGAGCAAUAAACAUUCCUCUUAAGCAAGGCUCAUGAGUGAGACUGACUAUAAGCUGUGUUGGGACAGAAGGUGAUUGAAGAGGACACCCACCAGUGGCUCAUGAGGAAUAUUUGCCUUUUUAGAGAGCAGAGGUUCAAGGUAGCCCCCUGCUAUUCCAUAACUAUGACGAUAGAUACAUCCAUAUAUGAAGGGCCAAGGCAGAAGACAGAGAAGAUGCCAGGGGCUUCAUGUCUGAGACUAACUCUGUCUCUAAGGGAACAGCUCUCCUUGGUCAUUGGCCCCUAUGCUGCUAACUAGCUCUGCAUGCCAAGAGCUUCUGAUGGAUUACAAGAUGAGAUAUUCAAAGGUAUUGUAAGUACUCUUGCUCCUAGAACACGAACCAUUGAAUUAUCCCUCAUUUCAACAGCAACGAGAUUCAGGGUUACUAUGGCCUUACUCAUCAUCCCAUUGUAAAUACGUCAUGACGUCACGAGAGCCUCCAUGUUCAAAUUCACUAAAACAGGUUUCCACGUUCCAAGUCUGUGUCUCUAUCCGCAAAUUGGAAACAUAACUUUGGGAGAAUGAUUUUCAGAAUAACGGAAGUGAAAAGAGAGUGGACAGUGAAGCAAUUUCUCACCAUACACGAAACCACUUAGAGUACUGAUAGCCCUAAAGCUCUGAUUUUUUUUUUUCUCAUGACUAAGUUUCCUUUAACUUAGGGGCUUUUGACAUCUGAAUUUUCCGGAUGAUUACUGACACAUCUUCACCAAACUGAAGCAGACACAACGGCAUUGUUAAAAAAUAAAGACUGCCCACAUGAAUGCCAAUAUCCCAAUGAAAAGUGAAGAAGGAGGUCACUCAAGGAGUAAAUUUGGUCUUGGUGAGGUCAAACAUUUGGCUGCUUGGGAAAAUCCAGAUGUUUGAAUGAUACGGUUUUUCAUCUGGUAGUCUGGUGUUGUCUGGAUAGACAGAAAAUGCUCAGGUGUUGUAGGUAAUGAAAUUUAACUUUCUUGUUGCAGUAAUCUGUUGCUGGUGAUAUUCUGCUGCUAACAAUCUCUUUGUUGUGCAAAGAGGAAUAAAUAAUGCAGAGCAAAUGCUAUUUGAUUUUUUUUAUUUACUUUUGGCACACCCAAGAGUGGAAGAGGUUUGGGAGGCUGUCCUGGGGGGGGGGGGGGGUGGUAUUCCGAUGUGAUUGAGGCACAGACCUCCCUCACCGAGCCGGUGCUGGAGGCCUGCCACUCGGCUCCUUCCUGCCGAGGAAACUUUUUAUCCAGCUCUUUUCCAUCCUUUUAUACUUGCCCCUCUGCUCUUCAUGUAGGUCUUACUCGCUCACAAAGUCUACUUGACAGAAGAGUUCAAGGGAAAUGCAGAGUCGUUAACUUUUUACUCUUCAAGUAGGAAGUUUCCAUUGCAAGGACUUCUUAGAUCUUUGAAGCAGCAAAAUCAUUUAAACUACUCAAUGCAGUUAUUUCGUGGUGCAUGUUGUGGUGUGGACAGAAGUAAAAGCUAUUUUUCCCAAAUUACACAAAAUGCAUACUUGGUUUGGUUUAUUGAUGUCGUUCUGAUUGCCAAGGACCGACUGGUUAUACACAGUGGCAGAGUAGUGUUGUCUUUGUAGUCCCAGAAAACAGAAAAAAAGAGAAAAUGUCAAAGGAAAGUUCACUCUCCAGAAAGAAAGUUUGAGAUAGUCGUAUGACUCUUGUGUUUGUGACUAAUUAGGGACGUUUCCUUCCUUGUUUCCUCUGACUUGGCUCUGGACUAGUGAGUGUGUGUAUUUCAUCAAAUUGGGUGCUUACCUCAUUUUCUAUUCUGAGGCUGGACAGGAAAACAGGCAAGUUAUUCCGACCGAUUUUCUCUUCUGUGAGUUUAAGUUGCGGAACUCGUUCCGAGGCACUGGCCGUAAGCAGGCACACAGAGCGCGAUCGAAAGGUCACGAGAGCAUUUCCAGAGAAAAAUCUAAAUGUUUUGUACAUUCUUAGCGUUUUGAUUGCGUCAAAUGCUACAUUUCAGCGCCAACUUAGAACGACUUCGUGGGGUAGGCAUUGCCCAUGUCCUUGUUGGGUCCCUCCUCCCACCACAUGCAGACGUUUCCGAAAUCAAUUGGAUGCUCCACCUUGUGUAGCAAGGGCCUCCGGCCACUGGGUGUCGCUGCUCUGUGCUGACUGUGUUUUGAAAACGCUCCUUCGGAUGGCUGACCCCGUUUGCUAGCCCCCCACCUGUGAAAGCCCUCGGGACCACCGCGCCGCCACUUCCUGUCGCAGGUGUACAAACCAACCCGGUUUGGCUUUGCUUUUCUUUUUCCUUGAGAUUUUUGACUUCACCAGAUCUUUUCCCGAAUUUUUUUACUUUCAUGUUAUCGACAGGAUAUUUAGUUCAGUGUUUCAGUCAACUGGCAACCAAGAGGCGACAAUCCGUUGGCAACUACAGAAAUUUUAGGUGUUUUGGUUUGUUUUGUUUUCAGUUAUCUUUUAUUAUGUAAUAAUUGAAUGAUACUUGUGGUUUGGUAGAAAACUAAAAGUCCCUGAGUUGAAUAUAACGGCUGUUGUAAUUAUACUUAAAUAUAUUCUACGAAACAGUAUCCUUUCACACUAUGAAGUAUACUCCUUUCUGGAGACAAGAAGAUGGAAGGGCCAUGGUCCAGCGGUGGAAACACACACACACACAGGGGCCUAGCAUCUGUGCCCCUUGAGUCCUCAUUCCUGGUCGGUCCCUUCAGCCUCAGAAACUCGCCCUCAGCCUCCUUUUUCCCAUAUGUAAACGAGAGAUAAUCUUUAUCUACCUACCUCAUAGUAAUUUUGUGAAGAUGCGUUAAGUUGGUAAAGUGCAUCGGCACUUGAGUAGCGGUGUCAGCACAAAGGAGGCCUGUGCGCAGCCCUGAAAUAGGCUACAGGAGGGGGAAGUGGAGGCAGCUUAGUAACACGACAGCAAUAAAUCACCAAGCAGAGAGUACGAGUAUUUGUGAUCACUUAGCAGAAGCGAAACUUUUUCUUCAAAGGUCUAUGUAGAACUUUUUUUUUGUUUUAAUUAUCAGCUUUUAAUGACAAAAAAUUCCUUUCAUACAAACAUUGAGAAGCUUCGUACGGAAGGACGAUUUCCCUCGUAGCCAAGCUGAAUUUUAUGAAAUAGUUAUUAAAUAUAUCUGAAAGACUGGGCUCCUUCUGAUGCCCAAAGAGUUUGCAUGCCUGAUCCCCAAACUACAUUUUCCAGAAUGCCUGCCUGAUACCUGAGUUCAGGACUCACGAUUGCCAAGUGGUGUUCUGGAACCCACUACCUGGAGGGAAAAUUUUUAAUCGAUAUUAUUGAGAUUAGAUUUUGUGUUGUCUCCGGUGAAGUUCUUUUUUGACUCUUAGAUGACACAUCCCUCCCUUUACUACCCGAUAAAAGAAUGUAAAGCCUUAUUUAUGCCUGGAACUUCUGAAUUGGUUUCUUUUCAGAUUAUAAAUAAAUUUUAAGAUUUUCAGAGAAGUGUUUACACAAGGGCUUCAGCUAUAUAUUGAUAUACAUGUAUCCUCAUACAUGCAUAGAUCUGAGUAUUCAACUAUAGGACACAGGAGAUGGUGGGGAAACAACCAUAGAGAACAUCCUGUACAACUUCCCCCAAAAGUCACAUGCUUUUUCUUACUUAAAUAUUUAGUCUGGAUAAGAACUAGUGCUAAAUCACAUAAUUUGGGGUUAUAAAUAUUUAUCAUUUUUCAGUCGGGGCGGUAAUAUUGUAAUGUAGGAAUAUACCCAUUAAACUAUACUAACAAUUCAGAUAAUGUCUUAAUGCUGUGACUUCACAAGGAAAAGUUAUGUACAUAAAUACUGUCAUUGUGCCCUUAGUUAAUAAUUAUAUUCCUUUGCAAAAAAAAAAAUGCAUGCUCUUAAAAACACGAAAUAAGGUUUCAGAAAGUUUAUCUUGAUAAAUGGGUUUAAAAUCAUGUUGUGCCUAGAACUACAUAAAGGACACAUUCAACAUAAUCUCUUCUGGAUUCUACAAUCUAGUUGCCAGUGGUAUAGCUUAAAAUUUCACAUUGGUUAUACAUUUCUAAUGCAUGGUAUUAAGCUUUCUGGAGCAUGAAUUUAACCUAGGCAAUUGCCUGAUCCAUUAAAAAAAAAUGUUUAUGUUGCCAUGCCACACUUAAGACAAAUACCUUUUUUUUUAGACUCAAAAUAUGAGUAUAGCAAGCGAGUCAAAAUGAUUUGGAUUUCUCUGACUUUUUUCCCCCAAGUUCCACGCAUCAAUAUUUUUCAAACCCAAAGUGCAUCAGAAUAUCCUUGCUUCUGAAGGGAAAUAUCCAUAUCGUUUGUUUUUGUGCAAGAAAACUGAAGUUAACAGGACUGGAUUCAGGGACAUGCAAAUAAGAUACGGUGUGGCACGUUCUAGGGGGGCUGGCCAGGAUGAGGGGGGCGCUGCGAGAGAAGGCAUCACUGGCAGGCUUACCACCAAGGUGCAAAACAGAAUCUAAACGUAGUAGCUGGACAACUCUUUGAAGUGAUGGAAAUGAAAUUCCUCACCAAAGAGAUGAACACACAGGUGGAGACAACAUGUUAUUAGACAGAAGCUAUGCAUCUAAUUCCGGGGAAAACGAAGUUUGAACCUCCCCUACUUCACUCUUAAGGCUUUCCAGCCCACAUGGAAGGCUCUAGAGUCUUCCCCAAAAUAGAAGACUUUUUUAGAGAACUACUUUUUAGCAAAGAUGCAUGUGAUUGUACUGCCGUGGACCAGCCAUUAUGUAAUUAUCACAUGUGUGAUGCUUUAUAAAUGUAGUUGUCAACUCUUACGGUCACUUCCAGUAAAUUCUGUCCCAUAAACAUGUGGCAGAAAAUCCUCUUGCUCCAAAGGAAUGCCUGCCAACUUGCUUACAUCCAGUCUUACCCCUCGCAUCUUACUAUCGCAAAACUUUCAUAUCCAGAUGGUAUGGGACGGUUGAAAAAUGAAGCUUUCGGUAAGUUGCUUAUUGAAGGUCUCACCUGUAGCUUCUCUUCAGUGAAGGGGGCAGGAGGAGCGGGGAACCUGGGUGAGAAUCUUGUCUCUAUUAAAUUGUCUCUGCUUUUCUUCUCAGUUACCAGACAGCUUGGUAGCCUGGAGCGCAAGAUGAUAGGGAAACAUGCACAUUAGGUUUUUCCCAUUCUCAGAGCAAGGAGGGCAGCCAGGAAGCCAGAGGUUCCCACGCCUUUGAAACCAAAUAGUACAUUGAAUUUAAGGCUAAGACAAAAAAGAAAAAAAAAUGUUGUAGAGUAUGAGCGACAUCAUCCUUCCUACCGGCUCUUUUCUCAGUUUCUACUGAAUUCUUUUUUACGGUUUAGACCAGAGGUUUCUAAUAAUGAUCACUGAUGCCAUUUUAUGUUAUAGCUUCCAUGCAGAAAUGGUGAAAGCAUGAGUUACCCCCAAAAUUACCGGGAAUACUGACUUUGUCUGAAACUGACACCCUCCCUAGCAAACUAGAAACAAAUACAACUUAGUAUUCUGGUGUCACUACGAACAUCUAGUAAAAAAAUAAGAAGUAAACAAAAGGAGCGUUUUGCUCAGCAUUAAACCAUCGCACAACAUAAACCCGCUUCCAAAUGGCAAGGAUUUUUACUACUGACAUUCGUCCUUCAUUCUGCGUUAUUUUCAGUAACUAAUUUUCACAUCUAACUACCUCAGCUACCGUCCUUUCAUUUAGAAACAUGAAACCAUGCACUUUGUAACCAACAGGUUUUUCAUUUCAAAUUUCAAAAGAAUACUUGGUGCAAAGCAAUUUUCCAAAAUUUAUAUAUGACGGAAGAAACCCACCCUCAGCAGCUUGUCCUUAACUCUGUUUGUUUGUUUCUGAGUUGGAUUGGGGUUAAAAAAAAAAAGAAAGAAAGAAAGAAAGAAAGAAAAAAAAAUUCGUUUCCACUUAAUACCAAGAAAAGCUGCUCUAUAUUUGCUUGAUUUGCCUUAAAUACUUUGUGCUCCUUUCCCUGUUCAAUUUUUUUUGUUUGUUUGUGUUAAAGCGAUCUCUGAAAAGAAAAUGUAACAGGUGGCAGAUGAGCAUCAACUAAGAGAAGGGACCAAUCAUUUCUCAGUUCCCUGUCGUCAACUCUGCAUGACAUUCUGAUUGUGUGAAAUUGCCAUUCCUGUGUUUCUCUCUCCCAUGACCACUAGAGAAAUAAGGUCCGAGAGACCCCACGUGUGUGGUUAAGGAACGGUGUAGACAUUUCCCCCAGGACGAGCACAGUGCCUGGACCCGAAUGAUAACCUUGGCGGUUCUUGGGCUUUUACUUUGUAAACAUUGUACAAAUGUAUUUGGAAUCUUAUUUGAAAUGAAGAAUUAAACUAGUUACGAAAUUCUUUUCCUUCCUGUAAAUAUAUAUAUUCAAACUCCAUGUAUCCAAACAUUCCUUUAGCGUUCGGAUUGUAAGAGUGUCUUUAUUGGCUGGAGGCCGCCGUCUCGGGCCGCGGUCCCACGUGCUCUAGUGGAAAGCACAGUGUGUGGUGUAUUUGAUGUACUAUAAUACCAUAGUUAUUUUGGUCUGUUAAGUAAGUUGCAAUUUGUGAUGAAAUGAAGUGGAAAGUAGUGCUUCAUAACGAGCAAAUUUCCUUGGUUACAUGAUUUUUUCUUGUAAAACUUAAAAAAAAAAGAAAACUUGAAAUUUUAUAUAUUUGGAUUUUGUAGAUUUUUUUUUUAUUUUAUUGCAACACAAGGUACCAAAAUCAUUAAAUAAAGUACACUGUGGUCAUUUUAACAGAA